rnacentral:lncRNA from 1 species
GAUAUUAUUAUUCUUUGAACUAUGGGAAUAAAGGCAAUAUGGUAGAAUUUUUGGUUGAUUAUUAUUAUAUAUUAAAUGAAUGCUAUGAUUUUAGACUAAUAGGGCUUGAUGGAUGUUUGUAAAUAUUUUAUUGGUAUUGUUUUGGUUUGAACUAUUGAUGUUGCUUUGGUCUACAAGUAUAGAUAUUUUGAUAUUGAAUAGUGAAGUUGUGG